rnacentral:rRNA from 1 species
AGAGUUUGAUUAUGGCUCAGGACGAACGCUGGCGGCGUGCCUAACACAUGCAAGUCGAACGAGAAUCCGUGGAAGGAGGCUUCGGCCAACGGAAGCGGAGGACAGUGGCGAACGGGUGAGUAACGCGUGAGCAACCUGCCUUUCAGUGGGGGACAACAGAGGGAAACUUCUGCUAAUACCGCAUAACGUGCCUUGGGGGCAUCCCUGGGGUACCAAAGAUUUAUUGCUGAAAGAUGGGCUCGCGUCUGAUUAGAUAGUUGGCGGGGUAACGGCCCACCAAGUCGACGAUCAGUAGCCGGUCUGAGAGGAUGAACGGCCACAUUGGGACUGAGAUACGGCCCAGACUCCUACGGGAGGCAGCAGUGGGGAAUAUUGGGCAAUGGGGGAAACCCUGACCCAGCAACGCCGCGUGAAGGAAGAAGGCUUUCGGGUUGUAAACUUCUUUUACCAGGGACGAAGAAAGUGACGGUACCUGGAGAAAAAGCUCCGGCUAACUACGUGCCAGCAGCCGCGGUAAUACGUAGGGAGCGAGCGUUGUCCGGAUUUACUGGGUGUAAAGGGCGUGU